CACCAGCCCCUCCAAAUACAGUUUCCAGCUGAAAUUCAAACCAAAGCAGCAUUUCCUUUCCUUUCCUUUCCUUUCUUGAACCACCAAUGGCGGGUGCGCACUGCGCCACCUCCCUUGUCAUCGCACACCCAAUCCACUCCACCGCCAAACCAGUCAAACCAAUCCUCUCAGCCUCCGUUUCCGUACCGUCAAAACCCACCCGACGGAGAAACCAUUUGCGCCCCAAAAUCCUCAAAACCCUAACUCGACCCUACCCGCCACCCAAAACCCCUCUCCUUCCCGAACUACCCCCGACGGAGCCUGUAAUUCCCAUUGAGUCCCCGGUAACUCCUUCCGAGAACGACUCCAAUACCGAACUUAGCUCUGACCGAAGCGACGUCGUUGCCGCAGAAGGCGAUACAGUUGAAGAACUGAGCGUGUCUGUGACGACCCCCGAGCAAAAUGGCAUUGUUGGUAAAUUUUCUGCCAAGUCCGUCCUUAAAUUUGGGGCGUAUGUGGUUGGGGCUUAUUUGUUUCAGGCUUUUUUUACUGUUUGGUUGCUGGGAGAUGAUAAUCCUGAUCAGGAAACUGGGAAGUCGAAAACUUUAAGCAAAUCGAAAGGGAAAGCUUUGUAUUCGAAUGUUGGGUCUGAAUUGGGCAAUGUGAUUUCUUUGGACGAGAUACAAUUGGACGAGAGGAUAGAGGAAAUUAGAGCAAUGGCGAGGGAAGCACGAAAGUCGGAGAAAAGGGAGUUGAAGAAGGGAAGUAUCGGUGAUGAAGAUGAUAUUUCUGAUGCAAGGAAUAGAAUAGGCAUCGAAAAAGAGGUCGGAGAGCGGUUGGUUAGGUUGCAGAGGAGUUUGAAUUCUAAAAGGGAGAAGUUGCAGGGUCCAUAUGUGAGUAAUAUGGAAAAGAAUGAGAAAGUAGAAGAUGGGAAUUCUAAAGAGGAGGAUGGGACAUUGCUGUUUAAGAAAAAGGUCAAGUUUAAGGCCGAAGCGAAAAGCAAUCCCAAGGGGUUUGGGGGUUUGGAUGAGCAUGGUGAAUCUAGGAGGAUAAAGAGAGGUUCGGGCGGUGUAGAUACAGUGGCGGGAGAUGCAAGUGUUGGUAGUGAUGGUAAAGAAUUGUUGGAUUCGGAUAAUGGUGAAAACCAGCGAGAGAGUGAUAUUGGACAAGGUGUUUCCAAGACCGUAGAGGACGAACCCAAGUUGCAAAAUGACGGGAACCAUUUGGAGAAAGGAACUCGGAGUAUGGAUAGCGGAAACGACAUAGGAGCUGGAACUAUUGAGCCACAAAAUGGUACCGUCCAGAAGAAAAGACGAGGGAAGUCCUCUGAAGGAGUAAAGUCAAGAAAAUCAAGGGCGUUGGGGAAGAAAAAGUCUUCCUCAAAGAAAGAAAUUCAGGAAACUACCAUAAAAUCUGGUGAUAAUGCUGUAUUGAGUGUAAAUGGCAGUUCAAAAAACAAAGAAGCUGAAAAGGAACCAGUGGCUAACAAAGUCAGUGGCAAUCGAUCAAAGAAUGAUAUUGAUCCGUGGUGGUUGGAUCUUCCUUAUGUUCUGGUUAUUAUGAUCCGUAGAGGUUCUGGUAGCGAGGGGCAAGGCGGACUCUAUACCUUAAAGCUCAGUUCUCAGCACCAAAGCCAGAGUGAUUUUUCCUAUACUGUCGCUUUCGAACACCGCACUGAUGCCAAUAACUUCUGUAUACUAUUGGAAACUUUUUUCGAAGAUCUGGGUGAUUUCAGGGCUGAUAUUGUUCCUUUACCAAACAAAGUAAUAAUUCUAAUUUGAUUUCACAAAACUUACUCAUACUUUUACUCAAUAUUUAUGAGUCUGAAGCUGCUGAACAUUGCAUGAGGACAAAGGAGUCGGCGUUUCAACUUUUAAAAGUGUUCAAAGAACUUCGCGAAGCCAUAAAGUCAGAUAACAUGAAGCUGAUUUUUGUGAAGAGAGGGCAGCUUCAGCUGUAUGCCGGGCAACCUUUUGAAGAAGUUGAGACAGCGUUGCGCUCUCUGGUUGAACAAGAGUGAAGUGCUUAGACUUUUUUCCUCUUUCAGAGUUCUUCCGCCAAUCAGGAAUGCUUUUGGUUUCAGAGUUCUGCCACAUUCCUGAUAUUACGAUGGCUUGGGUCUGCUGAUCUCAAGCGAAGGUCUCCUCGUGGUUUUGGUAACAUGCAAGGGAAGCGUUGAAUGACCCCGUUGUAGGAAAAUAUAGUGAAAUGCAGUUACAGAGAUUUUCGUAUUUCUGUCGUGUGAUAUUUCUCUUCUUUCAAAUGAAUAGGAAAUAGUUCAACUGUAGGAAUCCAUGUAUUUGUUCGUACUGAGAGACAAUAUAUUGUGGGAAGAGAGCUGAAAUGAUUUCGAUUUUUGGUGAAAUUAUUUGCUGA